CUGCCAGUAGUCAUAUGCUUGUCUUAAAGAUUAAGCCAUGCAUGUCUAAGUAUAAGCAAUUAUACAGCGAAACUGCGAAUGGCUCAUUAAAUCAGUUAUCGUUUAUUUGAUAGUACCUUACUACAUGGAUAACCGUGGUAAUUCUAGAGCUAAUACAUGCUGAAAACCCCGACUUCGGAAGGGGUGUAUUUAUUAGAUUAAAAGCCAAUGCCCUUCGGGGCUCACUGGUGAUUCAUGAUAACUUCUCGAAUCGCACGGCCUUGCGCCGGCGAUGGUUCAUUCAAAUUUCUGCCCUAUCAACUUUCGACGGCUGGGUCUUGGCCAGCCGUGGUGACAACGGGUAACGGAGGGUUAGGGCUCGACCCCGGAGAAAACGCCUGAGAAACGGCGUUUACAUCCAAGGAAGGCAGCAGGCGCGCAAAUUACCCAAUGCCGACACGGCGAGGUAGUGACGAGAAAUACUGAUACAGGGCUCUUUUGGGUCUUGUAAUUGGAAUGAGUACAAUUUAAAUCUCUUAACGAGGAACAAUUGGAGGGCAAGUCUGGUGCCAGCAGCCGCGGUAAUUCCAGCUCCAAUAGCGUAUAUAAAGUUGUUGCAGUUAAAAA
rnacentral:rRNA from 1 species